rnacentral:rRNA from 1 species
GAUGAACGCUGGCGGCGUGCCUAAUACAUGCAAGUCGAGCGAACAGACGCGGCGCUUGCUCCUCUGACGUUAGCGGCGGACGGGUGUGUAACACGUGGAUAACCUACCUAUCAUUCUGGGAUCACUUCGGAAAACCGGAGAUAAUACCAGAGAAUAUCUUGAACCGCGUGGUUCAAUGGUGAAAGACGGUUGUGCUGUCACUUAUAGAUGGUUCCGCGCCGCUUUAGCUAGUUGUUACGGUCCCGGGUUACCAAGGCGACGAGGCGUAGCCGAGGGGAGAGGGUGAUAGGCGACACUGGAACGGAGCCACGGUCCAUAGUCCUAAGGGAGGCAGCAGUAGGGAACCUUCCGCAAUGGGCGAAAGCCUGACGGAGCAACGCCGCGUGAGUGAUGAAGGUCUUCGGAGCGUAAAACUCUGUUAUUAGGGAAGAACAAAUGUGUAAGGAACUAUGCCCGGCUUGACGGUACCUAAUCAGAAAGCAACGGCUAACUACGUG